rnacentral:rRNA from 1 species
GAUGAACGCUGGCGGCGUGCCUAAUACAUGCAAGUCGAGCGAACAGAUAAGGAGCUUGCUCCUUUGACGUUAGCGGCGGACGGGUGAGUAACACGUGGGUAACCUACCUAUAAGACUGGGAUAACUUCGGGAAACCGGAGCUAUUACCGGAUAAUAUUUCGAACCGCAUGGUUCGAUAGUGAAAGAUGGUUUUGCUAUCACUUAUAGAUGGACCCGCGCCGUAUUAGCUAGUUGGUAAGGUAACGGCUUACCAAGGCGACGAUACGUAGCCGACCUGAGAGGGUGAUCGGCCACACUGGAACUGAGACACGGUCCAGACUCCUACGGGAGGCAGCAGUAGGGAAUCUUCCGCAAUGGGCGAAAGCCUGACGGAGCAACGCCGCGUGAGUGAUGAAGGUCUUCGGAUCGUAAAACUCUGUUAUUAGGGAAGAACAUACGUGUAAGUAACUGUGCACGUCUUGACGGUACCUAAUCAGAAAGCCACGGCUAACUACGUG